rnacentral:rRNA from 1 species
GACGAACGCUGGCGGCGUGCUUAACACAUGCAAGUCGAACGAUGAAGCCCAGCUUGCUGGGUGGGUUAGUGGCGAACGGGUGAGUAACACGUGAGCAACGUGCCCGCGACUCUGGAAUAACUACCGGAAACGGUGGCUAAUACUGGAUAUGUGCCAUGCAGGCACCUCCUCUGGUUGGGAAGGUUUUUCGGUUUCGGAUUGGCUUACGGCCUAUUCGCUUGUUGGUGGGGUAAUGGCCUACCAAGGCGUCGAGGGGUAGCCGGCCUGAGGGGGUUACCGGCAACACGGGAACUAGGACACGGCCCAGACUCCUACGGGAGGAAGAGGUGGGGAAUAUGGCACAAGGGGGGAAGGCCUGAGGAGGAACCGCCGGGUGGGGGAGGACGGCCUUCGGGUGGAAAACGUCUUUUAGUAGGAAAGAGGCGCAGGUGAGGGUACCGGCAGAAAAAGCACCGGCUAACUACGU